UACGGAGGGUGCAAGCGUUAUCCGGAUUCACUGGGUUUAAAGGGCGCGUAGGCGGCCACUGCAAGUCGGUUGUGAAAUCUCCGGGCUUAACCCGGAAAGGUCAACCGAUACUGCAGGGCUAGAGUGCAGAAGGGGCAACUGGAAUUCUCGGUGUAGCGGUGAAAUGCGUAGAUAUCGAGAGGAACACCUGCGGCGAAGGCGGGUUGCUGGGCUGACACUGACGCUGAAGCGCGAAAGCUAGGGGAGCAAACAGG
rnacentral:rRNA from 1 species